GACGAACGCUAGCGGCGUGCUUAACACAUGCAAGUCGAACGAUGGAGAAGAGCUUGCUCUUCGGAUUAGUGGCGAACGGGUGAGUAACACGUGACUAACCUGCCCCUUUCUCUGGGAUAACGCUCCGAAAGGAGUGCUAAUACCGGAUACUCACAUCGAGGCACAUGCCUUGAUAUGGAAAGUUUUUCGGAAAGGGAUGGAGUCGCGGCCUAUCAGCUUGUUGGUGAGGUAACGGCUCACCAAGGCGACGACGGGUAGCCGGCCUGAGAGGGGGACCGGCCACACUGGGACUGAGACACGGCCCAGACUCCUACGGGAGGCAGCAGUGGGGAAUAUUGCACAAUGGGCGAAAGCCUGAUGCAGCGACGCCGCGUGAGGGAUGAAGGUCUUCGGAUUGUAAACCUCUUUCAGUAGGGACGAAGCGAAAGUGACGGUACCUAAAGAAGAAGCACCGGCUAACUACGUGCCAGCCGCCGCAGUGA
rnacentral:rRNA from 1 species